UACGUAGGGUGCAAGCGUUGUCCGGAAUUAUUGGGCGUAAAGGGCUCGUAGGCGGUCCGUCACGUCGGGAGUGAAAACUUGGGGCUUAACCCCAAGCCUGCUUCCGAUACGGGCGGACUAGAGGUAGGCAGGGGAGAACGGAAUUCCUGGUGUAGCGGUGAAAUGCGCAGAUAUCGGGAGGAACACCCGUAGCGAAGGCGGCACUCUGGGCCGGUACUGACGCUGAGAAGCGAAAGCAUGGGGAGCGAACAGG
rnacentral:rRNA from 1 species